AGGAGAUCUUCCUCACAACCAGUGUCCCUGUGAAGAAUGGACACAAUCAUCCACAACCACCUCCCAUCAUCCCCAUGGUGGCACCACUGUGGAAAUGGGAUGGUGGAGCGUGUACUCCACCUGUGGAUUUCUAUUCCAAGAGAAGAGAUUGUCUGGGAUCCAACUCUGCACAGAUGGGUUAACAAAACUGAGCCCAAGGCUGAGAACAAGUGUGUACCACCACCUCCACCGAUGGGGACAUAUGGAUAUCAGGGGAACACUGGCAGUGUCCCCAAAGGAGUGAAUCCUUACUCUAUGAAAGCAGCAGGUCUAUGGGGCAGCAGAUACCCUACAAUGUAUUACAAUGAUGGGACCAACUCAAAGCCUCCAAGCCAUGGG